rnacentral:rRNA from 1 species
GACGAACGCUGGCGGCGUGCCUAAUACAUGCAAGUAGAACGCUGAAGGAGGAGCUUGCUUCUCCGGAUGAGUUGCGAACGGGUGAGUAACGCGUAGGUAACCUGCCUGGUAGCGGGGGAUAACUAUUGGAAACGAUAGCUAAUACCGCAUAACAGUAGAUGUUGCAUGACAUUUGCUUAAAAGGUGCAAUUGCCUCACUACCAGAUGGACCUGCGUUGUAUUAGCUAGUUGGUGAGGUAACGGCUCACCAAGGCGACGAUACAUAGCCGACCUGAGAGGGUGAUCGGCCACACUGGGAAUGAGACCCGGCCCAGACUCAUACGGGAGGCAGCAGUAGGGAAUCUUCGGCAACGGACGGAAGUCUGAGCGAGCAACGCCGCGUGAGUGAAGAAGGUUGUCGGAUCGUAAAGGUCUGUUGUAAGAGAAGGACGAGUGUGAGAGUGGAAAGUUCACACUGUGACGGUAUCUUACCAGAAAGGGCCGGCUAACUACGUG